UACAGAGGUCUCAAGCGUUGUUCGGAUUCAUUGGGCGUAAAGGGUGCGUAGGCGGCGCGGUAAGUCGGGUGUGAAAUCUCGGAGCUUAACUCCGAAACUGCAUUCGAUACUGCCGUGCUUGAGGACUGGAGAGGAGACUGGAAUUUACGGUGUAGCGGUGAAAUGCGUAGAUAUCGUAAGGAAGACCAGUGGCGAAGGCGGGUCUCUGGACAGUUCCUGGACGCUGAGGCACGAAGGUCAGGGGAGCAAACGGGG
rnacentral:rRNA from 1 species